UUAAUUAAAGACAUCAACAAUUUCUACUGUAGAGAAAACAUUUGAAAUCUGAAAACGCCUUUUUCUGAAUGGAGUCUGGUUGUGUUUGUGUUGUGGGUAAAUCAAUACAAGAUCAUCUUUGGAGACGGAACCAGUAUAUAUAUAUAUGUAUAUGUAUAUAUAUAUAUGUAUAUAUAUAUACAUAUAUAUAUAUAUAUAUAUAUAUACAUAUAUAUACACAACCUAGAGUUUAUAGAAUCAAAAUUAAUAUUUCAUGUUUCUGAAGUGGAGUCGGGUUGAGUUUGUGUCCCAAUGCUUCUUGUUGUGUGAAUACUGGAUUCAAGAUGAUCUUUGGAACUGGCACCAGUUUAACCAUUGAACCCAAGACCGUGUCCAAGCCGUCCUUCUACAAGCUGUCGGGCGACGGCACGUCGGCGUGUUUGGCGUCAGACUUCAGCCGGAAGAAAGCGGCCGAGGAGCAGCACGCCAUCUUCAGCCGCAGCGCGGCGGUGUUGGUCGAAGAAGUGUCACUGUACAACCAGCUGGUCCUGUUGACCUCUGAGGGGGAGGAGGAGGCGUGUGAGCAGGCUGAAGACGACUCUGAUGUCUGUGGAGAACCUGUUAAACCAGAUGGGAGGGUGAAUCUGAUGUCUGUCACCAUGUUGGGUCUCCGGCUGCUUUUCUUCAAAACCGUAGUGUUCAAUGUGCUGAUGACUCUGAGGCUGUGGAUCAGUCAGUGA
ensembl:lncRNA